rnacentral:rRNA from 1 species
GGAGGGUGCAAGCGUUGCUCGGAUUUACUGGGCGUAAAGAGCACGUAGGUGGUUUGGUAAGUCUGAUGUGAAAGCCCACGACUCAAUCGUGGAAGUGCAUUGGAUACUGCCAGACUAGAGUACAGGAGGGGUAAGCGGAAUUCCAGGUGUAGAGGUGAAAUUCGUAGAUAUCUGGAGGAACAACGGCGGCGAAGGCGGCUUACUGGACUGUCACUGACACUGAGGUGCGAAAGUGUGGGGGGGAGCAAACAGGAUUAGAUACCCUGGUAGUCCACACCGUAAACGAUGGACACUAGAUGUCGGGAGCACUUACUCUCUCGGUGUCGAAGCUAACGCGUUAAGUGUCCCCGCCUGGGGAGUACGGACGCAAGUUUA